GUGCAGCAGGCGCGAAUCUUCCACAAUGGACGAAAGUCUGAUGGAGCGACGCCGCGUGCGGGAUGAAGGCCUUAUGGGUUGUAAACCGCUGUCAGGGGGGAAGAACAUCGGAAUGAACAAUACUCAUUCCGACUGACGUUACCCCCAGAGGAAGCUCCGGCAACUCCGUGCCAGCAGCCGCGGUAAUACGGGGGAGCAAGCGUUGUCCGGAAUUAUUGGGCGUAAAGGGCGUGUAGGCGGCGAGGUAAGUCGAAUGUGAAAUCUCACGGCUCAACCGUGAAACUGCGUUCGAAAACUACCCUGCUUGAGUACGGGAGAGGU
rnacentral:rRNA from 1 species